AUUUGUAUUACGUGCGAAAUUGUUACCAUUUUUGAGCCGAAAAUGGUAACAAUAGUUCCGCACGUAAUACAAAA